AGUGGCGGACGGGUGAGUAACGCGUGAGAAUCUGCCUUGGGGUCGGGGACAACCACUGGAAACGGUGGCUAAUACCGGAUACGCCUUCGGGUAAAAGAUUUAUUGCCCUAAGAGGAGCUCGCGUCUGAUUAGCUAGUUGGUGAGGUAAGAGCUCACCAAGGCAGCGAUCAGUAGCUGGUCUGAGAGGACGAUCAGCCACACUGGGACUGAGACACGGCCCAGACUCCUACGGGAGGCAGCAGUGGGGAAUUUUCCGCAAUGGGCGAAAGCCUGACGGAGCAAGACCGCGUGAGGGAGGAAGGCUCUUGGGUUGUAAACCUCUUUUCUCAUGGAAGAAGCUCUGACGGUACCUGAGGAAUCAGCCUCGGCUAACUCCGUGCCAGCAGCCGCGGUAAUACGGAGGAGGCAAGCGUUAUCCGGAAUUAUUGGGCGUAAAGCGUCCGCAGGUGGCGAUUCAAGUCUGCUGUCAAAGCACGGGGCUUAACUCCGUAAAGGCAGUGGAAACUGAAUAGCUAGAGUGCCGUAGGGGUAGAGGGAAUUCCCGGUGUAGCGGUGAAAUGCGUAGAGAUCGGGAAGAACAUCGGUGGCGAAAGCGCUCUACUGGACGGCAACUGACACUCAGGGACGAAAGCUAGGGGAGCGAAUGGGAUUAGAUACCCC
rnacentral:rRNA from 1 species